rnacentral:rRNA from 1 species
GACCAACGCUGGCGGCGUGCCUAAUACAUGCAAGUCGAGCGGACGGAUGGGAGCUUGCUCCCAGACCGUCAGCGGCGGACGGGUGAGUAACACGUGGGCAACCUGCCUGUAAGACUGGGAUAACUCCGGGAAACCGGGGCUAAUACCGGAUAACUCUUUCCCUCACAUGAGGGAAAGCUGAAAGAUGGCAUCUCGCUAUCACUUACAGAUGGGCCCGCGGCGCAUUAGCUAGUUGGUGAGGUAACGGCACACCAAGGCGACGAUGCGUAGCCGACCUGAGAGGGUGAUCGGCCACACUGGGACUGAGACACGGCCCAGACUCCUACGGGAGGCAGCAGUAGGGAAUCUUCCGCAAUGGACGAAAGUCUGACGGAGCAACGCCGCGUGAGUGAUGAAGGUUUUCGGAUCGUAAAACUCUGUUGUCAGGGAAGAACAAGUACCGGAGUAACUGCCGGUACCUUGACGGUACCUGACCAGAAAGCCACGGCUAACUACGUG